UACGAAGGGGGCUAGCGUUGUUCGGAAUCACUGGGCGUAAAGCGCACGUAGGCGGUCUCCUAAGUCAGAGGUGAAAUCCUGGAGCUCAACUCCAGAACUGCCUUUGAUACUGGGAGCCUUGAGUUCGGGAGAGGUGAGUGGAACUGCGAGUGUAGAGGUGAAAUUCGUAGAUAUUCGCAAGAACACCAGAGGCGAAGGCGGCACACUGGCACGAUACUGACGCUGAGGUGCGAAAGCGUGGGGAGCAAACAGG
rnacentral:rRNA from 1 species